CCUUAGACUUAGUAGAAAAAAAAAAAAAAAAAAAAAUAGAAAAAUAGGAGAGGCAUAGAAUUCUUUUGGUGACCCUAAAUUGUAGUUGACUCUUUAGUAAAGAAGUGUUUAAACCUUAUUCUGAUUAACGGCUCAUAUCGAGGACUCUGUUGAAGUUUGAUAGUCUUUGUUUUGUUUCACUAGAGAGCAUGCGAGCACACACGACGCACUUCACACUUGUAGUGGAAGAGUACAUAGCUAAUAUGUGAGAGAGAUGGAUGCCGAGAAUGUUGCAUAUUCUGAGGACGCUAUGUUAACACGGAUUACACUUCAUGAUUUGAUUAGAUGUUGGCAUUUGGUUGCAUUCAUGCAUUGCAUUAGUAGUAUUUGUGUGUGUCUAUGCUUGAGGACAGGCAUCGGUUU
rnacentral:lncRNA from 1 species